AAUAAGCGGAGGAAAAGAAACCAACAGGGAUUGCCCUAGUAACGGCGAGUGAAGCGGCAACAGCUCAAAUUUGAAAUCUGGCCCUAGGCCCGAGUUGUAAUUUGUAGAGGAUGCUUUUGGUGCGGUACUUUCCGAGUUCCCUGGAACGGGACGCCUUAGAGGGUGAGAGCCCCGUACGGUUGGAUACCUAGCCUCUGUAAAGCUCCUUCGACGAGUCGAGUAGUUUGGGAAUGCUGCUCAAAAUGGGAGGUAAAUUUCUUCUAAAGCUAAAUACCGGCCAGAGACCGAUAGCGCACAAGUAGAGUGAUCGAAAGAUGAAAAGCACUUUGAAAAGAGGGUUAAAUAGCACGUGAAAUUGUUGAAAGGGAAGGACUUAUGACCAGACUUUUUCUAGGCGGAUCAUCCGGUGUUCUCACCGGUGCACUUCGCCUAGUUAAGGCCAGCAUCGGUUUCUGUAGAGGGAUAAAAGCAGCAGGGAUGUGGCUCCUCCGGGAGUGUUAUAACCUGUUGUAUAAUACCUUUAUGGGGACCGAGGUUCGCGCUUCGGCAAGGAUGCUGGCAUAAUGGUCAUCAGUCACCCGUCUUGAAACACGGACCAAGGAGUCGAACAUUUAUGCGAGUGUUUGGGUGUUAAACCCUCACGCGUAAUGAAAGUGAACGGAGGUGAGAGCCUUAGGGUGCAUCAUCGACCGAUCCUGAAGUCUUCGGAUGGAUUUGAGUAAGAGCAUAACUGUUCGGACCCGAAAGAUGGUGAACUAUGCGUGGAUAGGGUGAAGCCAGAGGAAACUCUGGUGGAGGCUCGCAGCGGUUCUGACGUGCAAAUCGAUCGUCAAAUCUGCGCAUGGGGGCGAAAGACUAAUCGAACCAUCUAGUAGCUGGUUACCGCCGAAGUU
rnacentral:rRNA from 1 species